rnacentral:rRNA from 1 species
GGGCCCNCCNCUAGAGUUUGAUCCUGGCUCAGGAUGAACGCUAGCGGCAGGCCUAACACAUGCAAGUCGAGGGGUAGAGUGCUUUGGCACUUGAGACCGGCGCACGGGUGCGUAACACGUGUACAAUCUACCUUUUGCUAAGGGAUAGCCCGAAGAAAUUUGGAUUAAUACCUUAUAGUAUUGUUUGGUGGCAUCACUGAAUAAUUAAAGCUCUGGUGGCAAAAGAUGAGUACGCGUCCCAUUAGCUAGUUGGUGUGGUAACGGCAUACCAAGGCUACGAUGGGUAGGGGUCCUGAGAGGGAGGUCCCCCNCACUGGUACUGAGACACGGACCAGACUCCUACGGGAGGCAGCAGUGAGGAAUAUUGGACAAUGGUCGGAAGACUGAUCCAGCCAUGCCGCGUGCAGGAUGACGGCCUUAUGGGUUGUAAACUGCUUUUAUACAGGAAGAAUAAGGUCUACGAGUAGAUUGAUGACGGUACUGUAUGAAUAAGCAUCGGCUAACUCCGUGCCAGCAGCCGCGGUAAUACGGAGGAUGCGAGCGUUAUCCGGAAUCAUUGGGUUUAAAGGGUCCGUAGGCGGGCUUAUAAGUCAGAGGUGAAAGCACUGAGCUCAACUGAGUAACUGCCUUUGAAACUGUAGGUCUUNAAUGUUUGUGAAGUAGCUGGAAUGUGUAGUGUAGCGGUGAAAUGCAUAGAUAUUACACAGAACACCGAUUGCGAAGGCAUGUUACUAACAAAUUAUUGACGCUGAUGGACGAAAGCGUGGGGAGCGAACAGGAUNAGAUACCCUGGUAGUCCACNGCUGUAAACGAUGGAUACUAGCUGUUUGGGAGUAAUUUUGAGUGGCUAAGCGAAAGUGAUAAGUAUCCCACCUGGGGAGUACGCACGCAAGUGUGAAACUCAAAGGAAUUGACGGGGGCCCGCACAAGCGGUGGAGCAUGUGGUUUAAUUCGAUGAUACGCGAGGAACCUUACCAAGGUUUAAAUGGGAAACGACGUAUCUAGAGAUAGAUAUUUCUUCGGACGUUUUUCAAGGUGCUGCAGNGUUGUCGUCAGC